GCAAGUCGACGAUGAAGGGGAGCUUGCUCCCUGGAUUAGUGGCGAACGGGUGAGUAACACGUGAGUAACCUGCCCUUGACUCUGGGAUAAGCACUGGAAACGGUGUCUAAUACCGGAUACGAACUUCAGCCGCAUGGCUAGGAGUUGGAAAGAAUUUCGGUCAAGGAUGGACUCGCGGCCUAUCAGCUAGUUGGUGAGGUAAUGGCCCACCAAGGCGACGACGGGUAGCCGGCCUGAGAGGGUGACCGGCCACACUGGGACUGAGACACGGCCCAGACUCCUACGGGAGGCAGCAGUGGGGAAUAUUGCACAAUGGGCGCAAGCCUGAUGCAGCAACGCCGCGUGAGGGACGACGGCCUUCGGGUUGUAAACCUCUUUUAGUAGGGAAGAAGCAAAGUGUUUUACAUGGAGUGACGGUACCUGCAGAAAAAGCACCGGCUAACUACGUGCCAGCAGCCGCGGUAAUACGUAGGGUGCAAGCGUUAUCCGGAAUUAUUGGGUUUAAAGGGUGCGUAGGCGGUUCUUUAAGUCCGGGGUGAAAGCCCACUGCUCAACAGUGGAACUGCCCUGGAAACUGGCGAACUUGAGUACAGACGAGGGUGGCGGAAUGGAUACUGUAGCGGUGAAAUGCAUAGAUAGUAUCCAGAACCCCGAUUGCGAAGGCAGCUGCCUAGACUGUAACUGACGCUGAGGCACGAAAGCGUGGGGA
rnacentral:rRNA from 1 species